GGGUUUGGGCAAGUAUAUAAUGGUAUGUGUCCACCAUGAAGUAUCAUACAGAGUAAUUUCCUUGCCCUGAAAAUCCUUUCUGUUUGGUCUAUUUAUCUCUCCCUCCCCUGAACCCCUGGCAACUACUGAUCCUUUACUGUCUUUAUAGUUUUGCCUUUUCCAGAAUGCUUUACAGGUGGAAUCACUG